CCGCGGGAACACCGGCGGCCCGAGUGGUGAUCGUGAUUAUUGGGUCUAAAGGGUCCGUAGCCGGUUUGGUCAGUCCUCCGGGAAAUCUGAUAGCUCAACUAUUAGGCUUUCGGGGGAUACUGCCAGACUUGGAACCGGGAGAGGUAAGAGGUACUACAGGGGUAGGAGUGAAAUCUUGUAAUCCCUGUGGGACCACCUGUGGCGAAGGCGUCUUACCAGAACGGGUUCGACGGUGAGGGACGAAAGCUGGGGGCACGAACCGGAUUAGAUACCCGGGUAGUCCCAGCCGUAAACGAUGCUCGCUAGGUGUCAGGCAUGGCGCGACCGUGUCUGGUGCCGCAGGGAAGCCGUGAAGCGAGCCACCUGGGAAGUACGGCCGCAAGGCUGAAACUUAAAGGAAUUGGCGGGGGAGCACAACAACGGGUGGAAGCCUGCGGUUUAAUUGGACUCAACGCCGGACAACUCACCGGGGGCGACAGCAAUAUGUAGGCCAAGCUGAAGACUUUGCCUGAAUCGCUGAGGAGUGGUGCAUGG
rnacentral:rRNA from 1 species